AAAUAAAAAGGUUAAAAUAAAUAAAUUAAAAAGUAGUAAUUAAAAAAAUAUAUUUUUAACAUUCUCAGCAAAAUACUAAACCCUAAAUCCUAAUCCCUAAUCCCUAAACCCUAAAUCCUAAACCCUUGGGUAAACCUUAAACCCUUGGAUAAAUCCUAAACUUCAAAUCAAAAACACUAAACACUCAAGGGUUUAGGGUUUUAAGAUUUAGUAUUUUUGAAUUAGAGUAUGAAUUAUCCAAGGGUUUGGAGUUUGCCCAAGGGUUUAUAGGGUUUAUGAUUUAGGGUUUAGGGAUUAGGAUUUAGGGUAUAGUAUUUUGCUGAUAACGAUAAAAAUUUUUUUUUUUUUAAAUUCGUUUUUCCCUAACUACUAUUUUUUCUAAUUUUUUAACUUUUUUAUUUUAAAAACAUAAUAUAUCUUGACAAUAUUUUGUUUCUUUUUCUUAAAGAUAUCGAAUUUGAAAUAAUGAAAUCCUAUUGGUUGGUGAACCUAGAGGUUCACCCUAGGGGGUGGACCCAAAAAUAACUCUAUAAUGUUUAUACACGUGAAAUUUAACUAAAUGGGACCCAUAUAUAAUGUGCUGGUGAGAUUAAUAUGGAGUUUAAAUGUUUAGCUUUCAUUGGUUUGCAUUUAAGUUGCUAAUAUAUUAUGAAUAUUCUCUUAAUUUGAUUGAAUUUUUAAAGCAAAAACCAGUGGCACAACUUGUAAUUAACAAAGGUAAUUAAAGGUUAAUUCUCAUUUGUAUUUCAGCUUUAAUGGUUUAGAUACCUAUAGUCUACAGUGUACACACGCUUCAUGUGGAUCCGAUCGCUAAGUUCUGCAAUUGAUUUCUUAUUUAAAAGAGUUGCUUUAGGGUAAUUUGAGCAUAACAAAUUUAUCACCGUUGUCGGGGAACAUUAGAUUUGCCAUUAGAUUUUGUGGACAGAUUUAGUCUAGGUUUUAGUUUUUAUUUUUACUUGUAAAAUUUUCUUGUUUCUUUCAGGUUUAUGUCCAACAACACCAGAAGCAACAAGGAAAUAGAACUUUUAUUUUUGGAUCCUGCAAGGUUUGAAUGUACAAUCCGCGGAUCAUAUAUAAUGAAAUGGACUUUGAAUCUAAAGACUUAAAACCGGAAUCAUAUAUACAUAGGCAAAUGGUAAGGCCGCGGAUCAGCUUGGGCCCAAGGGCCGGGAUCGGGUCAUUACACCAUGUCCAUUGCUUCUUCACUUGGAAAGAUGAAUUGGAAUAUCCUUCCUUCCAUAACCCGACCAUGUACAAGACCCUCCAGUCCCAAAACUCUAGGCAUGGUUGCAAUAAUGCCUCUCAGAUUUUGUUUUUGCGGCAUAGUUGGGCACUCCACCAAGAUGAAACGAUUCUCCUCAGCUUCAGAGGGUAGGACAAGGGAGCAUCAUUACUACCAAGAAAAAUGUCUUGAAUCACACGUCUAAUGUUUUCUGUCAUAGUGUCUGUAGUAGGAAAAUAAGAUUUGGAAAUAGCAAAAGUUUGAGUGCGGAUAAAGAAAUUUCCCAAGGCCAUCUACAAAUAGCCUUUACAGUUUUCAAUAGCACACACUCAUCACGUUGGGAAAGUGGUUCCCCCAUGGAAGUACAAAGCAUAGUGGGAGUACAACAUGUGUAAAACCCACAUUCAAAAAAUCUAAACCCUUCAACCACUAAGAUCGUGGUGAGAAAAUAUAGGAUCUGGCUCACUUUCGAAAUCGUCCAGAAAAUCGCCAAAACUGUUUUGUAAACGCCAUCAAAUUAGAAUUAUUUAUAUUUACAAAAAAAAAAAGAGAUUACAGUUAUUAAUGACGUGGAUUUGUUAAUAAUUUUAAUCAUUUUUAAUUAUAAUUAGUCACAUUUAAAAAAAUUUAGCCAAGGUUAUUUAUUGAAAUUUACUAGGUGUUUACCAACAUUUGAAUAAUUUUCAAAACUUGUAUGAUAUUCUAGUCCCUAUCACAACUUUUCUAUACUUAUUGAGUAAUAGCCUCUGUAUAUUAUGUAAAGUAUCACAAAAAUUAUCAAAAUUUUACAUAUAUUUCGGUUGUUAUUGUCACCAUUCAAAUACUAUCUUGCAUUGUUUAUUUUACGUAAAAUAAACUUAUUCAGCAUGAUGAAUUUAUUCAAAUGUACCACAAUAAAACUGACUUCUACUGUGACACCUCGAUUUACAUAAUAAAAUAUUACGAUAAAUAAAUAGUUCUGAUAUCAAAAAUGUGACACCGGUCACUUUUGAAAUAGUAAAAUAAUAUGAUAAAUGAUAAAUUCUGAAAUCUCCAUUUAUAAAUAUUUGAAAGUCAACGUCCACGCUGGAAAUCCAGUAAAUAAAAUAAACGUCUGAAAAAUAAAAACAUCACAAAGCCUAAAGUCUGAAAUGUAUAAAUAAGUAGAAACGUCUGAAGCCCAAAGGCCUGAAAGCCCAAUAACACCCCAAGCACCAAACCGAUGUAAUCACUUUUGAUCGUGAGUCUCACCUAAAAUGGAAAAAAAGAAGGAGGGGUAAGCAACAGGGGAGUUACCCAGCGAGGUAUGGGAUGCUAAACCGUAAACCACUGACUCAGUUCAUAACACUAUAACUAUGUAGGCCUAGCUCUAGCAUGAAACAAACACGGUGCCUACACGACACAGAACAAUCAAUAUAUGCCUAGAGCACUAUUCGUCGAAAGCGGCGGAGACGAUUCCCGGCGCGGCGGAGACGAUUCCCGGCACGGCGCGUGGCUUGCCCGCGGAAGUGAAACUUCCAGAGGUUCUAGCGGCUUCGUCCAGACUCCGAUUGCGGCGUGCUCGGUGGAUACAGCUUCUUCUUGACGAGAGGAACAUGAUCACGGCUUUGCAUGCGCGAGAUUCUCAAUGGUUAGGAAAUUAUGGCCGAUUUACUGAACGGACGAAAACAAAGCUCAAAGGCAUGGCGGUUUCCGGCGAUUGUCAGCUGCGGCGAACGGUGGUGAUGAGCACAAUGUGCAGUGGCUCCAGCUGUGGCUCAGUCUCUCUGGUGGCUCCAUCUCUACAAAGGUUUCCCAUCUCCAGAGCCAGGCUUGACCCCCAUUCAUGCGAAACAUUUGAAUGGGGCCCCCACUUUUGUGGGCCCCCUUUUAAAAAAAAAAUGUAUUUUGUAUACAAUAAAUGUAUAAAUGUUUAAUGUAAAAUAUAAAAAAUGAUAAAAAUAAACAAAUUUUAAAAAUUAUAAUUAUAUAAAAAAAUUAUAAUAGACUAAAAAUGUUCUUUUAAAAUUUUAAGUAAACAAAAAAUGUUUUAUCUUAAAAAAAAUUCAAAAAAAAAUCUUUAAAAAAUUAAUUUUUUUUUUAUUUUGGAUAGGGCCCCGGAAACUCAGGUCCGGCUCUGCCCAUCUCUUUCUCUUAAUGCUCUCUCUCUCUCUAAUUUUCUAACUUCUGAUUUUUUUUUAAUUCUUUGCAGGUGGAGAAACCAAGGCUGGAUGGUUUUUUAUAGAGAAAGAUUGGGACUUAGGAUAUGUGCAUAUGCUUUAGCAGGCUAACAAACUCCAAGACCGAAAUUGGGUCGUUACAUUCCACAUCAUUUAAAGCCGCUAUUACCAUUUAGAACGUUAGCCAUGCAUUGUAAAUGCCGGUAAACCGGACUGAUGUAAACGAUAUAAUAAAAGCGAAGUUAAGGAAAUAGACGAAUAUAGAAAACGAAUACGAGAACGAUAAGAAAUCGUAUUCGCAACGAGACAUGGAGGCGAGAUAUGAUCUCUUUCCUUAACUCAAAAUAUUCGCUCCGUUAGUGAGACGGGACUGUAUGAAUAUAGAGUCCCAGGAUACAACCAUGGCAGACGAAUCACGCCUCACUCGUGAUCGCCCUAUCGAACUAUAAACUCUACGAAACACUCUCGUUUUUAUGACUUACGCUAAGGGAAUUUUGAUGCUGGUUUCGAUCUGAAAAAGUUGAAGAAAAUGAGAAGAGGAGAGUCCAUAUUUAAAGAGAAGACUAGGAACGGUUUUUCGAAACUGUUGCGAACGUUUUCCGAAAAUCUCGCAAAGAUUUCGGAGUGGAACGUUGAGUAGCUUUCUCCGCAAGUUUCUCUCUUGUUGACUCGUACUGAUCCAUUUCGAACAGAUAAACUUUGUGUUGUUUUUAAACGAACUACAUGUCGUUUAUACACAAAUGUCAUGCUUUUUUUAGAAAUAAAAUGGCAAAGCGUUGAGCUUAACUUGGUCCAAAAAGAAUAAUUCUUAUCGGGCCAAAGGCCCUCCAAGCCCAAGCCCAAGCCCAAGCCCAAGUCCACGCCGAGCCGAGCCGAGCCGAGCCGGCCGGACGGCGGCGGCGGCGUGCGCGUGGGGAGCUUUCUUCUCUCUCCAAGCUGUUUAAGCUUUCAUGGUAAGUGAACAUAUAUAUAUUGCUCAACUUCUCUUCCUCUAAACGAUGUGGGACAAGUUCCCUUACAUCAUAAAUAAUGAUUCUUUGGGCUGUUGAAUACACAGGCCCAAGUCAUUUGCUUUUCACAUAUUUCAUUAAAGCCUAAAGGCUAUUAAUGGAUCCAACAAUCCCCCACAUGAAUAGAAAUGACUCUUCUAGACAUUUUUAGACUAAAUGUAGACUCGAUAGACUCUAAAAAGAAAAAAACUAUACUUAUUCUAAUCUGGACUAGACUAGACAGACUUAUCGAAAGUGUUUGCAAAAAAUUCACUGUGUUUGAGUUGGUGGCAUUUUUAAGCCUUGAACUACUCAUAGUUAAUAUCUGUCGGGUUUACUUUACCAGAAGGUGAACAUGAUGUCUUGAACCAACCGGUGUUUUAUGUAGACCGAGACAACAGGCAUAACGCAGCUUCAUUUUCUCGUAGAACUUAGUUCUCUAUUGUGUUCAUUGUGGCCCUCACUACAAAAAAAUAGUUAUAUUGUGACCAAAUUAUUUGUCACAAUAAAACACAAUUCGUCACAAUAAAAAUAUUGUGACAUAUUUGUGACAAUUUCAUUGUGGUUACAAUACGGUCGUCACAAAUUUUGUUGGUAACAAAAAACAUUACAAUGUUACGACCAUUACAUAUAGUAACUAUUCCGUCACAAAUAGUAACCAUAUAUAAAAGUAAUGAAAAUGUUACAAUUACCAACUACAAUUUAACGUAACAAAGUUGUCAUAUUUUGUGACUAUCACAACGUGCUAAUUCCGUCUCUGAUUACCACUGAAAUAUAGUCUCUAACCGUCACAAACUUUGUAAAAAAAAAAAAAAAACCGUCACAAACUAAUACUAGUAAAGAAUCAUCACUAAUCCGUCUUCAUUUGCGACUCUUUUAGUUGCUUUAAUUUUGUAAUACUUUAUAACUAAUAUAUAGUUACAAAUUCAAAUUAAAUUUGUUAUACCCCAUCUAUAAACUUUUGACUUAAUUAGUUAACAAUUUGUCAUCACGAUUAAUUCAGAAUUCACUAAACUAUUGCUUUAUUUUUAUAGUUAAUAUUUGUAAUAAUAGUGAAAGAAUACAAAAGUAACUAGUAUUUGAAACUAAAUUAAUAUAAACAAUUUUAAAAGAAUAUUAUAAUAUCGACAAAAAAUUAUAAUAUAUGCUACUACAUUCAGCUUCCGGUACUGGGCUGCGGUCGAGAGAAAACAGUUAGGGUUUCCUGAAUUUUUAUCUUCGGUUGAUUCUUGCACAGGAAUCGAAAGUUAUGGCGGCUAAGGCAUACAAACUCUUGCAAUGACAGAACUCCAUGAUGUGUUCUCGAUUGGUGUCCAUCUCAAAACAAUGGCUCUAAUAUUCUCUGCCUUUGUCUGACCUCCAGCUGAUUGCCCAGUUCUUUCAAGAUCGAUCUCUUCCUCUCCUUAUUAAAAACCCAACCGCGAGACACACAUACCACCACAACACCAGAAACGAGGGUGGUGCCCAACAUCGGAAACGCACAUCUCUCACUUUUUUCUAUCUCUCAUUCUCUCUAAGGUGGUGGCUGCGGCUAUUCUCUUGGAGUGUAUAUAUAUAUAUAUAUAUAUGCACACACGUGUCCUCAUUAUUGAUUAGGGUUAUAGACUUAUAGGUAAUGGGCUGUAAUUAGUUUUGAGUUUGGCUUAAUGGAUCGAUCAUACAUAGCAUCAUUUAUUUUCAAUAUGUUUCAGCUUUGAAUUCUAUCUCUUUUCAUUUUUACAUAUGACCGAUAUCUAAUAAGAAAGGUAUAUGCUGUUCAUAUCAUUUUAAACAUACAUCUAAAAAAUAGUGACAUCUAAAAUAGAUAGUAAAUAACCAUAUUUUAAAUUAGUAUGAAAUGAAGUAAGUUUUAAAAUACUGAAGUAUAUAAAAAUAUAUACAUAUCAAGUAAAAAGUAUCAAAACUAUAUUUUUUUAAUCACUGACUUUAUAAAAAUAUAAUUAAAUCAAUUUAGAAAUCUAUACUAUACUAAAAGGAGAAUAAGGUGAGUGUCCACCUCAGCACAAAAAAACAACCAAUAACAAUCUUUCAUAUUACCACGUCGUCACUGCUUUCUCGAGGACAAAAUUCUAAAGAUUGCGUUUGGGCUUUAUAUUAGUUUUAAAGGCCCAUAUGACCUACGACUAUCCUCUUCCACUUCGUCCUCUCUUAUUCCUCUCCAUCCAAUCUCAGUUGUUAUUAAGCCUCAUCUGCUACCAAUCAAUGGUGUUCUUCAAUACCCUUUUAAUGAAUCUGUUUCACCUCCCUCUCAUUUUCCUUCUUUACAAACCACUUCAUUUUAAGUUGGUUCCAUUCAAUCCUGAAAACCUCCUCCCAAAAAAAAAAUUAGCGAAGCAUAUACAAACUUAGUGCUAUGUCAUUGUAUCAUUUUUUUUCUCUUUAGGGUAAAUGUUCCCUUUUCCUUUCAGUUAAGAAAAUGUCUUUCUUCAGACAUAAAUUUCACAGCCAUAAAAACUGGGAAAAUCACCAUUUUGUUGUCGAGGCUUAUAAACCCCAUCUAUCAGGGUGAUUGAUCUACCCAACUUCCCAACUAAUCCAGAAAUGAAUGGCCUAUGAAAGUGUUUUGCUUCAAAAACAGGAAUUUGAUUACUUAUUAUUUUGAGAUUGUUGAAAUGUAUUUUCUUGGCCCUGAUUUAAAUUUCUCACCUUCCAAUUUUACCAGAAAGAGAGCUAUCUUGAUUUGAUUAGCAACAAGGCCGACAUAUCUUUCGCAAAAGAGAAGGGUUUCAGUUUUCAAUAGACGCUGAGAAGAGAGACGACAGAUUUGGAAGUUCCAGCGUGAAAUCAUUUCUAUGGCCAGUGUCCAUAACAGUCUUCAGAGCGUCUGAACUCUCAUAUGUUAUUGGUUCAGAUCAUGGACCGAGGAGGAACGAACGAGAGCUACAGACUACCACUAGGUUACCAUGUCAGUUCUGACUUUGUUAGCCUGUUCUAAUCAUACAGAGGAACACGAAUGUAAAAUUUAGUUUUUUAAAAGCGCUCCAUAUGAUUGGAAACUGUCUCCAUCUUAUUUAGUGUUUCCCAAUUUGUUUCUAUUCUGGAAUCACAGUCCUGCAACUGUAAUUGAGUCUCACCUAAUGGAGUAUAGCUUAAGCAGAUGAUGUGUAAUUGUUGUUUUUCCUUUAAAAGCAUGAGAAUGACUAAAGCUUCAUUUUUAAUUUCUCGAAGAUUUGAUGUCUUUUUAAUAUCUUCACCAUUUUUUGAUCUUUGUCAUGGGAGUAUUAAGAGCUAUAUCCUCAUAAUUUAUUUCAUCCCUAGCAUCUUGAACGAGCUCUGAGUCAAUUCUCUGUCUUAUUGAGUAUGCACAGAAUCCAGAUUCGUUAAAGACAUGUGUUUCAGUUAAAUAAUUUCAGAGUAUUGUGUUGUUCUGGUGCUGGACAAGCCAAAACAUCAUACUCCAGCACUCUAUGGAACCUGCAUAUGGAAACAAUGAAUGUUCCUCAACCGUUUAUGCCUGAUCAAUCAUGGAGCCGAGUGUUCAUAUUUGAUCUCCAAAUCCUAGUGCUUCAGAUGCUAAGUCAGUGUUUAACUACUCCAUACAAACAGUGAAACAAGGGAGGCGUUUACUCUUCGGUUUACGCGUGAUGGGGUUAUAUGUUUAUUUUCUCAUAUAUAUGUAUAUAUAUCUUCCCUGUGGUUUUGAAUUUCUUAGAGUUCAUACAAUCAUAUUCUAAUUCACAGAUUACUCUCUCUCUCUCUCUUCUCUCUUUGUAGUUACAUCAUCUAGCAUCUAAAUAGAAGAAAAAGAACGUGAUGUCAUUAUCAUGUCAUGUGUGCGUGCUUUCCAGUCGCGGCGUUGGGUUCGUUGCUGAUAUACAACGGAUGAAUGUUGCUCUCACACGUGCCAAAAGAGCUCUAUGGGUAUGCACGUACUUAUUUUUCUGUGAUAUAAUAAUAUUUCUGUUUUCUUUUUUCAGACUCUGUUUGUUCUUUGAUCUAUGUAAUUUUUCCAGAUUUUUCACAUACAUGGAGCAUAUCAUAUGUAAGCCUCUCCAACUCCUUUAAAAAAUAGAUAUUUGUCUUCAAGCUUUCAGUUGUACUGUUGGAUAAAGUCAUGUGAACUCUGUUUCUGCAUAUAUAUUUGGUGCUGCAAUUGGCAAAGGAAAACAAGCUGCUAAAACGUAAGCUUUUGGGUGAAUGUGUUUCGUAUAAUCGUAGUAUGAUUUAUGUGUCUGGUAUGAAGCAAUUUCUAACUUCACAGUGAACCAGACAAGUAAAUUAAGAAAAAUCGAAGGAGCUUCUAUGUAAUGGGAUUAAUGAUACCUAACUUAUGUAAUAAACUAUUGUGGUGGUUCUCUUGAAGACUUGUGAUUUAUAAGAAACAGAACUUUGUUACUUUCAGAGUGAAACAGGGCGAGGGAAUGCUAUAAGCUGCGAGGAGCACAUCAGAUGCGAAUCACUCAACGUUUAUGCAGAAAUCAGGAAAAGAGUCAGGGGCAGAGGAAGAGGAAGAAAAGGAUCUAGAGAAUGGAGCAAAUAAAGUGAACAAGAAAGUGAGAGAAAAAUCUAAGAAUAUCAAGAAGUCUUGCCAAAUAUGGUCAUGGUCGUUAUCACAACCAUGAUGUGUACGAAGAAGAAUAUGACGAGCAAGAACCAGAACGGCAAAGUGAGCCAGAUUUGUCAUUUACCUUGAGAAGAUAUUAGCGUUAUUAAUGGUGUCUAUGUUUUACAUCUGAAUAGCAUAGUGUAUAAUCUAGGAGAAGCUACUUUUCCAGCACCGGAGGAGAUCAGUCCACCAGGGACAAAAAGUGUUUUUCUGUUCGUGUCUUCGGAUUAUACCAAAUCCGUCUAACCUGAGACAUUACGAGAUACCUUUUAUGGACACGAGAUGACGGAUACUUCUGAGUUUGGUCUGUUUUUUUAUUUGUAAUGUAUUUUCAAGAAUUGGUUUGAAGAAUAACAUUAUUCUUAUGUUUGAAUCAAUUUUUGCUUCAAUCUUAUGUCUGUUAUGAAACUGUUCAAUGUGGUAUUAGAAAUGAAUGAUUCUAAAGUUAAAACAUAGUUUAAGUUUGCCGUAGAUUUUAUAAUUGUUUUAUACAAACACUAAGUAAAGAUAAAAUGUAUUUACAUCAUAACUAGGUUUAGUUAACUUUUACUCAUCUUACUUAUCAUUCUAUAUAUGACUUCGAGUAAUAACAAACAACGAAUUGUAAGUUAAAUUAUUUUGAAUUUGUUAAACAGAAGGCAAUAAAUAAAUU